GAACGGCCGCUGCGUCGCCCUGCGCCGGCCUCCCAUUGGGCGCUCGAAGUAAGGAGGGGAAGAUGGCGGAGUGAGGGGGAAGGAAGGAGAGCGCCGUGGGCUGCGGCCCUGGGGCCUUAACUGAGGUCCAUGCAUGCACCAUCUUGAUUGGCAGUCAGAAUAAGAAAAUUAUCAGAAAGCUAAAGGCAAGAGUUCCUGGUUAUAAUUUAUGCAGCCAUAAAGCAAAAGGGGAAAACAUUCUUGUGGUUGCAGUCAAAGAAUCAGGAGUCAGAAAAUUACAGUAGUCUUAUGCAACAGUCCUUUCCUGUCGACCCAACACAGGCUGCUAAAGGAGCUUUGACGGCUUCUGGUGAAGAAAACUCCUUCCUUUAUCUCCAUGAGGAAAAAUGAAGAAGCACUGCUUAUUUUCUGCUCCACUCCUUAACAUGAAUUGGAGAUGUAACGCCUGUAUUAUAGAAAAAAUUCUACUGUCCUUUCAGAGCAACUGAAAUUAAUGGCUGACAUAUCACUGAAACAUGCAAACUUUUUGUUCAGAGUUUUUGCACUCUAUAAAUGAUUUUGCAUAUAGAUAGAGGCAUAACCCUAAUUAGAUUGGCAUUUCCCCCCUUUCAAACUACCUUGGUAAAAAAACUGCCUACUCUCAACAUAGCAUUUAGAGAAGUGAGCAAAUUGAUAUAUCCUUGGAACUUGUUACACAAACCUUUAAAGAAAAUAUUGUGCAGAAAUAAAAGGAUUUAUAGGUGUACUUAAAAUGAGGAAUAACUUCUUAAAAAGGAAAAAAAAGCUUGCGAAAUUGCUCUGCUGGAAUUUUUCUCCUUUUAAAAGGAGCCAAUUUAUAGGUGUCCACCUUGAUGCCAUUAUGUGAAGCAGUUGAAGCACAGUAGCAUUUAGUAAUUUUGUCACUGUUUUGAGUAGACUAUUAAAAAACAAAACUUGCAUAUAUAAAUUUACAUAAUUGCUGGAAAGGAGAGGUGAUCCUGUGAGUUGCUGCUUUUCUAGCAAGAUCCUUCCCAAGGGGUUGAAUUCUUGAAACCAAACCCAGGAGCAAUGGGUUUUACAUGGUAUCCUCAGUCUUCCUAGGGAAUUCAGCAACAAAAGGAAGAAUACCUUUUUCCAAGCUUUUACCCAAAGGCACCAACUGAUAGUGUAAAAUAUAUGUGAAAUUUCCCACCAGUUGGAUGAACAAAGACAACACAUGCUCAGAAAGGGCUUCUUCACUAAUUCUGUGGGUCACUGAAAGUUAAGGUGGAAAUUCUGUUUCUAACAUGUUUACAAAAUCUGCUUUGUCUCAAUUGCACAUGAUUCAUAUAGGACAUUUUCUUUAGCAUGGAAUAAUAGCUGAUUUAUUAGCCACACCUUGCAAGGGUAGAUUGAUUCCUGGUUUUUGAAAAGUCUCCCCCGCUUCCUUAUGCUGAAGCCCUCAGCACUGCACCUUCAGUCUUACUGAAAAUGUGAGUUUAAAAUCUGCCAAUGGCUUCAAAAUAUUUUCAAUCUGGGUAAAAAAAUGGGAGUGCAUGUUAUAAUGGUCAGUCUUGGUUAUUAACAUUUUCUAUGCUACUUGAUGUCUGGUUUGAGGUAGCAAUGGCAAUAUUUCCUGAGAUGGAAAACAGCGGCUGUUUGGGGUAUUUAAUAGUUUUGAAAGGAGCAUCCCAAGCUAAAUACUGGUAUUUGCUCAUCACUUAAUCUUAUGUUCCUUUUAUAUAAUAAAAGAUUCACAUAAAUACUUAGGAAAGCUUAUUCAGAUGCUUUCCUUAAUUCAAAUCAGUUUUUUUAAAUGGAAUGUUUAAUAGAAGAUUAUCAAACAGGUAAAUAUUUAUAACUACUGAACAUAAUCAGAUUUAUGACUUGGGUCAGCUUGCUGGGGGGGAAAUUGUCAUGGUUGUCAUUUAGAUUGGCUUUGAAGUAUACUUAAAUCCUAAUUCAAAUAGAAGUCCAGAAAUAAAAGUAGUUGGAUUUCCUUCUAGGUUCUUCUGAACAGGAAUUCCUGUUUAAUUUAUUGGGAUUUUAGAUAUAGGGUUAGGCUUCUUAGUGAAACAUUCUCUCAUUCUGGAACUGAAAAUUCAGAAGACAUCAAGUGUAGUGAUGAUUUGCUUCUAUGUCAGUAGACUAUAUGUUGUCUUCCUUACGUACUUCUCUGAUUUAAUUUGUAAAAGAAUAUGCUGGCACAGAGUGAAAAUGUUUAGUUUCCCUAAAUUGUCAGGAUAGAUAUAAGAGAAAGUGGCCAUAUCAGUUGCACAAAAUUCCAGCAAAGAACAACUCCCCCAUCCCUUUCCCUCAAGCUCCCCUGACAACAUGAGGACUCAGUUUAAAAUCUUGGAGAAACGAGUGCUGUACACGGCCCAAGAAACCUGUUUGUAGUACUUCUCCUGUAGCAUCUUAAAAGUACUGUGUCAAGGCAAUACUGCCUUAAUCUUUUUAUUUUACAUUUUGAUCUGCAUCUGUUCAUGUUGGCAGGAAAUCUUUCCCUUAUGAAAAACAAAUACCGGGCACGUGCAAUAGUAUAAUAUAUACAUAUAAAUAUAUUUUAAUACUUGUGGACAAAAUGUUACAAGUUGUUUGAGAACAACAAAAUCACCAAUGUCUUCCAUUUUGAGAUGUGUAUAGUUCCAUAAGCAUUAGUGCUUUGUAGCAAAACUGUAGUGCCAUGUUAGGAUCAGUGCAUGAGCCUAGUAGUACUUUUUUUACAAUUUCAGAGUGACAAAUUAACAAGGCUGAUGGUGUAAUUCAUAAGAAACUGACAAGAUUAUGGUCAUGGGCUAAGGAUGCAGUGUCCUUUCUAGGCAAUGAUAGCUUAUAUUGGUGAAUAAAAUCAGUAGCAUGAGGAGUGCAUGGAUCUUGAAUCUGUAAGCAGGUAGAAGUGCACCUCAAAGAAACUACAAUUGAAACAGUCCUUAACAAAUCCUUUUUUGAGCAAGUAAUAUUUUGCUACAAUGGGAAAAUUCACUGAUCUCUUGGACUAAGAAGUUUCACAGAUUUAAGUGUGCAUAAGGCUAAUCUUUGCCACAACAUGUUCUCGUAAAAUGUCCCUUCAUAUAUGAGUGUUCUCCAUUCAGAAGAGCCUAUAAACUUUUACUCAGUUACCCACUAGUUGCAUAUUUGCUCAUAAGUACCCUUAUGUUAGAGCAGCACAUCAUCUAUCAAGUUGAAAAAAUGACUAAAUUACAAAUAAUAACACUGCUACUGCUAUUCAAGAUUGAUAGUAUUCAUUUUUGAAAGCAAAUGAUUCUCAUUUUUCUACUUCCAUAGAAAGCACCUGAAGGAGUUGGCUGUUUUAAAAAAAUUUAAAUCAUUGCAGUACAACUAUUUGGGUCACUAAGAUGUCUCCCUGCUUAUAUUAUCAAUUUGCUUUUAGUUCAAAUAAGUGAGAUCAGCAAUUCAGGCACCUGAUUUUUCUGUGCAGAUCCUGUAGUCUGGACUGCUGUGAUUCUGUUUUUAGAAAACAACUACUUGUAGCUUAAAGAGGAUACUGCAUCUUUUUCUUGGUCUUGUCUGUAAAUGGCUACCUUGGUGAGGAAAAAAAUAUUUCUGGUUUUGGUUUACCAUUGGCUAAAAAUUCAUAGGAAACAUUUAAUUAACCACAAAACAAGAGAUCUAUGUUUAAAGAUCUCUGCCUAUUCUCCCUUGAAAUUUGGGAAGGUGGGUUGUUUACAAAUGAGCAGCGAGGACCUGAGCUCAGCAAAGGUUCUGUUGGAAAGAAAUGUAUCUGUCCCAUUGAAUGAAAUAGUUUUUAGUGCUUGGGAGAAUCAAUUGAUGGAAAAAUACCUCUGAAACUGGAAUGCAAAAUAGCACAGUAUGUAGGGGGAAAGAAUCCCUGAUGCAAAUGAAGCCAUAAGAUGACUUAAUCAAUAGAACUUUAGUAGCAAUAACUGUUUGCAUGUAAUAGGAACUACUUGCAUUAGCAAGUAUUGUAUAGUAGAAUAAAUGGUACUAACCAAAUAGGUUUGUGGUGCUCUGUGUUGCAGGGAGUUGCCUGACAUGAUGAGUUUCUCUUUAAAAUGUUAGGAAAUUCCUCAAAGGAAGUUGGCAUUUGAAUGCUUUAUUGAGGAGCCUGUUUAAAACUCCUGCAUAGCCCCCCCCCCAAUUGAUGCAACUAGGGCAGAAAUUUGUUGUGGUCGUGGGCUAAAUAUGCAGUGUGCAUGAGAAAGUGGAUGAACCCCUGUCCUCCAUGUCAAUAGAUAGCAUGUAGUUGAACUUCUGGUGUGAAAGGGAACUCUUCAGAGAUUGUGAACAGGGCCAGGUUCAACCUAAACAUGCAAUUUAGAUUUGAUUGUGGAAACUUGUUGCCAUUAUCUAAAGCUGGUUAGAUGUGUCAAAUUUUUGAGGAAUGUUGGCAAGGUACAAAGCAUCCUAACACCUAGCAAGUGUUGUGUCUCCUGAAAAUGUUCUUUUUCUCUUUAAAAAAACUUUUAAAAACUUGUAUGCCUGUUACGUGGUUUCACUCUUAAUUAUAAAAGCUACUUUUGAGUUUGGAAGCUUCUAUUCUAGAUGGGUAUGCCUGGCAAUCUUUUACCCUCACCACUCUAUAGAGUGCAGUUCAUACCUCUUUAAAAUGCAGCUUGCACUAACCUAGUAUGCAUGUAAGACCAUGUAAACUGUAAGCCUAAUAUGUAACUCUGCCUUAAACAGGAUUCAGCUGAAGUAGAACAGAUUCAUCUGCAAGGUUGGGAUGUAUACUUGAAGGCUUUACCUUUAUUGUUUUCCUUAAUUGCAAGGAGUUAUAUCCCAGCUGGUGUGUUUCUGCCAAUAGAAGGCUUUUGAAUAGGAAUCAAGGCUAUUUUGGGUAGUUCCCCUUCCCUCAACAGCUGCCCAUACUGUUCAAAGGGCCCACCAAUUCUCCAGGUCAGAUUUGAGUGGGAAGGAGGAAUCACUGAAGAGUGCCUCAACCCUUUUUCCACUGAUGGCUCCACUGUACUAAAGAGCCUUCCAUAAGCAGAAUAUGGCCAGAGGGUAGCCAGUAUCUAUCAUCAGUCUGAUUAACACAGCCACCUGUUCAAGUGGAUGGAAGAAGCCCAUAUUUUAAAAGUAGAAUUGAUAUAUAUUCUGUACAGAACAACCCCUAUAUAUUCAUACUGUAAUAUGAGCUUUACUAAUGGUUUCCAAAAUAAUGUUUGAAAUCUGAAUCAAGGAGACUCUCCUUUAUAUGUGAAAAAAUAGUCAACAAAAACCUGUGACUAUUUUGUUCACAUCACAAAAUAUACAAGGUACUUUUUACUGUUUUCAAACAAACAUGAUUCUAGGGCUAAGGAAAUUUGCACUUUGUUAACCAUUCUGAGCAAACUGGCAGAAUCUGAAAGGCAUAUCACGGCUAUGCCACCAGUAGGACUUGCUUUGCUCUAAAUUUAUUUUGAGUUGCUGGUUUGCAGAUACUUUUCAAUUUGCAAAACUGGUGCUUGACUGACAUAGUGCUGCUGCUACCCAAUUUAAUAAAUAAUGAACUUUUUAGCUUGGUAUCUGGAUGAGUAUGUGAGCUUCAUACAUGCAGGAUUUGCUGUUGUGGUGCUUAGUCAGAAACAUUUAGGAUGUGGUUAACUGUUUGAAGAUGCUUGGCUGUCUUGCAUAACCUCAUAAUGGAGAGCUUUGCUGCCUAGAUCUAUAGAAAUGAGGGGUUCUGUUACUCUCCAGAGCAGCCUUUGCCAGCCUGGUGCCCUCCAGAUGCUUUGUGCUGUAGGUCCCAUCAACCCCAGCAGCACAUCCAAAACAACUGGAGGACACCUGUGAGAGGCGGCUUCAACAAAUUGCACUUAAGCAGUUUGCACCUCAGUAGCUGUGGUAUUUAAACUGAAGGUUUAACACUGAAAUUUGUUUCCAUAAGCAGUUAAUGAGGGGAAAGAUCUUUCUAUGAAGUGGCUCUUCAUGGCACAUAAGCAGCACUUGGGGUAUACGUGUGGUUCCCCCACCACCACCUCGCCUUCCAUUUAUUCUCUUAACAGCCUUUAAUCUAUCAGUGGAGAACAGGAUUUCAUUCUAAGUAUAUUAGUGCCAUUCUUUAUGAAUGGUUGCAGGGGGCUCUUUUUAAUAGUCUUUCUCUAUUCUACAUGUGCACUAGUUUUUACGAUAAAAUCCCCCUUACUUGACUUCUCCCUUUUAGACCUUUUAUUCUUGCUUUGCACUUUGAAGAACAGUAAAUAUUGAGCAGUAGAAGUCCAAGCACAAUACAUGGGUGCCAAUAAAUGUAUUUUCCAAACAGGCUUCUGGGAUAUAGAUGGUAAGUUUGCAAGUGGUAGCGUUGGAUCUUUGCAACAGGAUUUGGAGGCCUAAGCUGAACUGAAUUUUUGUACCAUGCUUUAUUAAGUACUUGAAGAUUGAGGGUGGGGAUGGAGGAAGGACAAUGAGUUUAUGCCCUCACCCUGUACACAGAAAGGCAAUGAGUUCUCCCUGCCCUGAAAUGUAGAGGAAUGGUCAGCUAAGUGGUGCUCCCCAAAGACUGCAGGAAUCAAAGCUUAGUAGGGUCUCUGCUGAACAAAGAACUCAUUUGUAUGAAAGGACUCUUAUGACGGGAAUGUGGAAAACAAAAUACUAGAGAAUGAGAAUAUGUCCUGUGAUGGGGCAGGGGAGAAUGCCCCAAGGUGAAGAUUUCCUACAUAACUAGAUGAGAAGGAAGCAGGUUUAGAGCUGGAAGUUGGUUCUAUCUGAAGGGGGGGGGCAGGAUUAAAGCAUUCGAGUUUGAUCACUUGCUAGUUGGUUUUAGAUGGAAUUGUCAACUUUCCCUAAUUACAGCACAACGAACAUUCCACAGAGUUUAGCAUCUAAAUAGUUGCAACUUAUCUGUCCUCUGCCAUCUUUGACAAACCGUUGGAAGGCAGAUGAGGUUGUGAAACUCAAGUAUGGAAAACAUACAUGGAAAAUUGACAAUGGCACAAGCACAUAGGCUCACAAACCAAGUCUUUUAUAGAGGUAGUAUUCUAAUUAUGCAUGAUUAAGAUGUCUAGUGUUAUAGUUAUUACCAGUAAAUUGAUAUAUGCAUUUAUACAUAAUGAAGCAAUAGGAACUAAUAUACCAAUAGCUUGAACUUACUGCUUUGAUUCUCAGAUUUUGAUUUUAGAGAACAUUCUGUCUCUUUAAAGGAGGCAGAAUGUACAAAUAAGAGAAGCAUGACACCAAAACUGUGUAUUUGAAAGAAGAAUCAGCAGAAUGAGCCCUUUUGACCUCUUACCAGGUUCAUUGUGUUCCCUUGAGCCUACAUAAUAUAUGAGCAUGGUUGGUGGUAAGAUGGGUUUCUUGGCUGCUGCAAUUGUACAAAUAAAAAAGGUGCAGAGUUUCAGAGUACAGAGAAGGCACUAGAUGAACCCCAAAUAGGGCAAUAGCAAAACGUAUGUAGUAGGAUUUUUCAGGUAACAAGGAAGGAAGGAACCUGGAUCACAACCUGUUGGCUGCAAAUAAAUGAGAAUUUAGGUGAAUGAAAUCAUUAAGCAGUCCUUACUCUUCAGGUAUUGAGUUUAAAUGACAGGUUCUCCCCGCCAGGUAUCUCUCACCCUGUUAGGCAGCUAUACUAAGAUGAACUGGUUUCAGACCAGCAUUAAUACACCUUACAAUAACUAAUCUGAAAAUGGCAAAGUUUUGCUUUAGACACAAAGCAAGUUCAAGCUUGCUAAGUAGGAGUGGAGCUUGCUAACUAGAUUCAAGAGAGUAAAUGGCACCCCCAUAAAAAUUAUUGGUUUAGUUACAAAAAAAGUAAAAAGUGGGUGCAUUUAAUGGUAGAAUAUAUAUGCCGAAUACAUAUUAAAUAUUAAGUAGAGGAUGGUAGAAGCAUAGCCCUUGUAUCUAAACCUGGACUAGAAAAUUAUUUUCCUAAUGUGAAGGUACUGCUUAAAAUAAAGACUGAGUUUAAAGUUCCUUAACUAGAUUAUGGCUAUACUAGUUUCUGCAGAGCAAGUUACAAAUACUUCUUCAUAUCAAAGUUUGCUUUCUCCUCAUAGAUCUGAAAAAGGAUUUGUUAUGGCAAAUCUGCAUUUUAUGUUAGUGGUUAUUUUCCCAAUCAUUUAUUUUAAGCUUGUUAUAGAGGCCAUAUUUUUUACAUUGCCAGUCUCAGUAAUUCGUAGCUGCCAAAUAGAUGUAUGAAUAUUGGAGACGUGAGUGAAGGCUUGUAAUGACAUUAGUUUGACUUCCCCUCUGAUUUCAUGUUAACAUGAAAAGACUCCAUAGUAUUGUAUCACUGAAUUGUUUCCCCCAAACUCUGUCCCUCUUGUAGGUUGUGAUUUAGGUCUCUGCUAAUUUCUUCUUUCAGAGCAAAGAAAAGAUUGUCUUUGCAAAUGCAUAAGAUAACUGAUCAUAAUAAAAGGAUUGUGAAAGCUAGAGUCUGGGAAAAUGUACAGAAACAUUGUAUAAAUUUUAGAAGUAGGCUUACAUUUUGUUAACUCACUUGAACAAGCAGAACAGACAAGGAAGGUAUAUGCCACUGCAAACUAUUUACUCCCAUUGCACAAUUAUGUAACAAAUAUCACAAAUCUACCCCUGUAUAUAUCUGAAGAUUUCCAAAAGGCAGCUUGCUUUUAUAUCUAUGCAUCUUUUGGGGAGGGAAAGAGGGUGUUAAAAUUAUUCUUUUGACACUGUAAACAAUAAUUGUUCAAAACUGAACCUGGAAACUCUGCACCUGUAUACAAUUUUUUAGCAAUAAAGCAGCAUGGGCUGAGAAUGCACUUAAAAUGCCAUUGUGUCAUUUCUUCUAGGACGAACUCUUGAAACAAUAGAAAUGUAGAUUCACAUAUUUCAAAGUUUGCCUUCAUUGUGGAGCAGGAGAAAGAUGUUUAAUCAUUUCAAGCUUAUAUGAUUGCUGAGAAACCCCAGCAGCUUUUUAGUACACCUGAUCCACUUCAUACUCUCAUGUAUUUCUCAACAAUUAUGUGAUUGGUUGCCAUGUGUUUUGCAGUGCCUCUUCUCCCUCCUCUUCCCAAUACAGUGGUACCUCGGGUUACAUACGCUUCAGGUUACAGACUCCGCUAACCCAGAAAUAUUACAUCGGGUUAAGAACUUUGCUUCAGGAUGAGAACAGAAAUUGUGCUCCGGCAGCGCAGGAGGCCCCAUUAGCUAAAGUGGUGCUUCAGGUUAAGAACAGACCUCCG